GGCGAGGUGGGCCGAGGUGGUUAAGAGCCGAUGGACUGCUAAUCUAUUAUUGUUACUUGCACGUGGAGUUCGAAUCCCAUCCUCGUCG
rnacentral:tRNA from 1 species